rnacentral:rRNA from 1 species
CCUACGGGAGGCUGCAGUGGGGAAUAUUGGACAAUGGGCGAAACCCUGACGCAGCAACGCCGCGUGGAGGAUGAAGUACUUCGGUACGUAAACUCCUUUCGAUCGGGACGAUUAUGACGGUACCGAGAGAAGAAGCCCCGGCUAACUUCGUGCCAGCAGCCGCGGUAAUACGAGGGGGGCAAGCGUUGUUCGGAAUUAUUGGGCGUAAAGGGUGCGUAGGCGGUUCGGUAAGUCUGAUGUGAAAUCUAUGGGCUCAACUCAUAGUCUGCAUCGGAAACUGCCGGGCUUGAGUAUGGGAGAGGUGAGUGGAAUUCCUGGUGUAGCGGUGAAAUGCGUAGAUAUCAGGAGGAACACCUGUGGCGAAAGCGGCUCACUGGACCAUAACUGACGCUGAUGCACGAAAGCUAGGGGAGCAAACAGGAUUAGAUACCCUUGUAGUC